AGGGCACCACCAGGAGUGGAGCCUGCGGCUUAAUUUGACUCAACACGGGAAAUCUCACCAGGCCCGGACACCGGUAGGAUUGACAGAUUGAGAGCUCUUUCUUGAUUCGGUGGGUGGUGGUGCAUGGCCGUUCUUAGUUGGUGGAGCGAUUUGUCUGGUUAAUUCCGAUAACGAACGAGACUCUGGCCUACUAACUAGACGUUAGAUCCCUUCGUGGGUCUAUCGCAGCUUCUUAGAGGGACGGGCGGCGUUUAGCCGCACGAGAUUGAGCAAUAACAGGUCUGUGGUGCCCUUAGAUGUUCUGGGCUGCACGCGCGCUACACUGAAGGAAUCAGCGUGUGUUCCCUACCCGAAAGGGUUGGGAAACCCGUUGAACCUCCUUCGUGAUGGGGAUUGGGGAUUGCAAUUAUUCCCCAUGAACGAGGAAUUCCCAGUAGGCGCGAGUCAUAAGCUCGCGUCGAGUACGUCCCUGCCCUUUGUACACACCGCCAGUCGCUACAACCGAUCGAGUUAUUUAGU
rnacentral:rRNA from 1 species